rnacentral:rRNA from 1 species
AACGCGAAGAACCUUACCAACUCUUGACAUCCUCAUUGGGGAGAACAGAGAUGAUCUCUUUCAGCUCGGCUGGAUGAGUGACAGAUGCUGCAUGGCUGUCGUCAGCUCGUGUCGUGAGAUGUUGGGUUAAGUCCCGCAACGAGCGCAACCCUUGCCAUCAGUUGCCAGCAGGUUAAGCUGGGCACUCUGAUGGGACUGCCGGUGACAAGCCGGAGGAAGGUAGGGAUGACGUCAAGUCAUCAUGGCUCUUACGAGUUGGGCUACACACGUGCUACAAUGGCGCCUACAGAGGGCAGCGAGAUAGUGAUAUCGAGCGAAUCUUAAAAAGGCGUCUCAGUUCAGAUUGUACUCUGCAACUCGAGUACAUGAAGUUGGAAUCGCUAGUAAUCGCGGAUCAGCGUGCCGCGGUGAAUACGUUCCCGGGUCUUGUACACACCG